AGCAGGGUGGAGCAGCCGGUUAGCUCGCAAGGGGCAUAGCCUUGAGGUCACAAGUUCGAGUCUUGUUCCUGCCA
rnacentral:tRNA from 1 species